GGCCCGUUCGGGGUACACGAGUGGACGACGGGUGAGUAACACGUGGGUGAUCUGCCCUGCACUUCGGGAUAAGCUUGGGAAACUGGGUCUAAUACCGGAUAGGACCACGGUCUGCAUGGAUUGUGGUGGAAAGCUUUUGCGGUGUGGGAUGGGGCCCGCGGCCUAUCAGCUUGUUGGUGGGGUGAUGGCCUACCAAGGCGACGACGGGUAGCCGGCCUGAGAGGGUGUCCGGCCACACUGGGACUGAGAUACGGCCCAGACUCCUACGGGAGGCAGCAGUGGGGAAUAUUGCACAAUGGGCGCAAGCCUGAUGCAGCGACGCCGCGUGGGGGAUGACGGCCUUCGGGUUGUAAACCUCUUUCAGCAGGGACGAAGGGUGACUGACGGUACCUGUAGAAGAAGCACCGGCCAACUACGUG
rnacentral:rRNA from 1 species